AGAAUAGCUGAAACUCGCAAAUCUUAGCUACUUUAUUGGACGAAUUCAGGGUUUCUAGCGCGAUACAAGAAGAACCUAAGGCCAACCAGGAACACUGGCGGCUAAGGGGGAAACCCUAAUACAAGGAGAGAUACCCAGAAAGUUUUAGAAACACGGCUUUAUAGCCUUACAACUUGGAGGAAAAAGAAGGAAAAGCAAAAUGGAGUAGUUGGCUCUCUGAAGGCUUGCCGGAAAGCCAACAGCGACACAGGACGCUCUCGCAGCCGUUAGAUGCCGAUCGGACGCCAUCCGGAUCUUCAUAACUAGCGAAGCGGUACGGAGACAGGAGGAGCGUCAGAGUUGUCUCGUUCAAACUUAACUGAAUCGACGAUGCAGUGUUGAAUUCUUCAGAGAACACAUACUUGGGUCCUGGCACAGCCUUGCCAUCUUAGCGAGUAUGUGGUUGUGCUGUCACCUCCUCCAGCACAACAAACAUUUCUGGGUUGUACCUUUAUGUUGAAAGAAAUGCACUGUCAGCAUCUGCAAUAACAUAAAUGCAUAGACAGCUAAAAAAUCCUUUUCAGGUGAUACACUCUUUUCAGAUAAAUGAGGAGAUACUAAACAGGUGAUACGCUCUAUUCAGACAGCUAAAAAACCGUUUUCUUGCAAAGCUAGGGGCGCAUACGUGGGCACGACUGCGCGCUCAAAUGCGUAGCUGGCAAACUUCUAUAAUUGCAGGGACCAGAACGAAUGCGUGAGUCCACCCACAGAGUUUGACCACACAUUUUUAAGCAACAAGGUCCCUUUCUAAAUCUAGUCAGGGCCUAAUGAUGUUCUUCUGAAACCCAAAAGAAAAUAAGAUGUGUGCUUCUUAAUGAGCUGAUCUGUCAUGUUUUUAGCUUCUCCAGUUACAUGGUCAAACAAUAGGUGAUGCAUGUCCAAUGGGAAGACCAUGGAAUUUUCUGCACUACUGAUGCCUCACGUUUACCUACAAUCUCAUAUGUAUAUGCACAAAAGAUUGGUUCAUUUAAAAAAAACAUCCAUGGUAACAAUACCAAAACCAAAACAACUAAAAGUAUAUGAGUUUGUUCUGAUCCAGCUAAAAUUGUAGUAAUCAGCACAUUCAAACAAGAAAACCCAGCAGUCACAUCUAAAAUAAAGGUAGAUGGCUAGUCUCAUUAUUGAGAAAGGCUAGCCUAUCAUGGCCCAGAUGAUAACAACCACAAACCAGCAUUUCAAGCUUCCUAGAAAUAUCUCUCCUUGACUGCUUCCAUGACUCCCAGAAACUUCCUGUGGGAAAAGAACCACAAAUAAAAUGCUUGACUGACUCUGCCUUUUCCCGGAGUUCUGAUGUACCUUGCCCAAGGCAAACUCAUCUGCCUCUUUGCUUCCAUAUCCCAGUUCCAUAGUUCGCUGCAGCAAUGGAUCCCCUUCCGUUACACACAAUCAUCUGCCUUGUAUGUUGGUCAUUUUAGUUAUUCCCGUUCUGUGCAUCAUCCGGCAGCUGCCUUCUUCCCGACAAGCCACUUUCUGCUCGAAGCACCAUCACCUCCGACGACGGCACUUUUGCCCUGGGAUUCUUCUCCCCGUCCAGCUCUGGCACAAAACAUUACUACGUCGGCAUAUGGUACAAGAACAUACCCCAAGACAACAUUGUGUGGGUUGCCAACCGUGCUAUGCCGAUCGCCGAUCCUUCUUCUGCAAUACUCGCCUUCACAAACAAAUUCAAUCUCGCCUUGUCAGACACCAAUGGCCAGCUUCUCUGGAUGACAAACAUCAGUGCUACAGGAAAUUCAUCAUCAGAGGCAACUGGUGGAGAAGCCAUGCUUGAUAACAAUGGGAAUUUUAUCCUUCAGUCAUCAGAAGGCAUCAUCUUAUGGCAAAGCUUCGAUUACCCGACCGACACUCUCCUUCCAGGUAUGAACCUCAGGAUCACCCACAGGACGCAUGCACUACAACGGCUUAUCUCUUGGAGAAACCCCCAGGACCCAUCCCCGGGGAACUUCUCAUAUGGUGCAGACCCUGAUGAGUUUCUGCAGCGUUUUAUAUGGAAUGGCUCAACACCAUACCGGCGAAGUCCGGUAUGGAAUAACUUUUUGGUAGUCGGGCAGUAUAUCGAGAGUAUCAGGUCCACAAUUUACUUUACGCUGCAAACUAUUGAUGAUGAGGUAUACAUUUCCUUUGGACUACCAGCACCAAGUGUCUCCUCAUUGUUGCUUGUGAAGAUGGACUACUCAGGCAAGAUGAAGAUACGAACCUGGAAAAGCAACGUGUCCAAAUGGACUGACCUGCAGUCAGAACCUAACCAGGAAUGCAACAAAUUUGGUUACUGUGGUCCAUUUGGUUACUGUGAUAACACGCAGCCUAUUGUGACAUGCAAGUGUUUUGAUGGCUUUGAGCCAAACAACAAACAAGAAUGGACAGCCCACAGGUUUUCACAGGGAUGCCAUCGGAUGGAAGCACUAAGAUGUGGUCAAGGGGAUGGCUUCUUAAAUACGUCAAACAUGAAGGUUCCCGACCAGUUCGUUUUUGUCAAGAAUAGAAGCUUAGAUGAAUGCAUAGCAGAAUGCACCAGUAACUGCUCCUGCACGGCGUAUGCUUAUGCCAAUAUGAGCACCAAGUUUAUGAAUGGCGAUGAAACUAGGUGCCUAUUAUGGAUUGGAGAUUUGAUUGACACAGAGAAGCUAAUUGGACAAGGGGAAAACCUCUACAUCCGGAUUAAUGGAUUGAAUGGUAAAGUUUACUGUCUCUGUUUUCUCUGCUUGUGCUAGUAGAUGUAGUCUCUAAUUUGCGGGUCCAGAGGAGCUCCAGUAAUAACCCUCUUAGUACUACCUCCAUCCUGGUUUAUAGGUCCCCUUUGUAGUUUGUGCCAAAUUUUGACUAAAGAUUUAACUAACAAAAGUGGUAAAGCUGCUGCCUUGUGACCAUGAGGUCACGGGUUCAAGUCCUGGAAACAGCCUCUUGCAGAAAUGUAGGAAAAGGCUGCGUACAAUAGACCCAAAGUGGUCAGACCCUUCCCCAGACCCUGCGCAAGCGGGAGCUACCUGCACUGGGGCUGCCCCUUUUUAUUUAACUAACAAAAUGUUAAUGCAUGUCAAGAAAUAUUAUCUCAUUGGAUUUGUAUUUGAACAUAGUUUUCAAAAAUAUAAUGUUUGGUGACAUGCGUGAACAUUUUGUUAGUUUAAUCUAUGAUCAAAAUUUGGCACGAAAUACAAUGGGGACCAAUAAACCCGGACGGAGGUAGUACAGCUCAAAAUUAGUACUUAUGCCUCACCCCCUUAUACAUGUGUGCAUUUUAUAGAGCUUCUCCAGCCUUGCCAUCUCAACGAGUAUAUGGUUGCACUUUCA
rnacentral:lncRNA from 1 species